GAGCUGUGAUGAUGAAUUUUUGAAAUUUGAAUUGGAAUAUGAGCAGAUAGUGGCUCUCCAGACAAAGACUGCCAAGGCGGCUACUGUAGAUAUUCUUACUACGCAUUGCAUACCUUCAGCAAUGUCAGAUGAUCUUAGGCCUUUAAUUGUGUCCUAGUAUAGGUACAUUGCUAUGAUCUUGUAGCCUUGUUACCACCACAUAUUCUGCCAUGAACAUUAGGAGGAAGAAAAUUUUGUAGAUUCCUUGAGGGUGGACGGUGGACUUUGGAGGUUUAUGUAUCAUUUGUAAUAUCUGAUGCACCUUCCCUAGAUGGUGUUAGGUGUUGACCAUUUUCUUUGAGAAGUGUGGCGGAGUUCAUUGGGAUCUCAAUAGCGAGGGAAAGCUCUCCAGGAACAUUAGUAAUGGUGAUUCUUUUCCUCCAGUUUUCACAGAUAAACUUUUGAGAACUGGGUUGGCAUUUGGUCAUUUGUAGCUUUUUCAUUGAAUAGAAAAUUAAUACAACCUCGUUAAUACCGAAUUUCCAGCUUGUUGGAGACUCUGUCACUGUGAAUUUCUGGUUCAUAACUUCUUGAUUUCACUGAGGGCCACUGAAGGAGUGCCAAUGCUACCUUGGUGAAUCAUUUUGACACUGAAAUUAACCUUUGGAGGCAUCAGCAAAAAUUGCAACGUGAAGGCAGAAGUGAAAUUCAAGCGGUGAGGGUUUGUCGAAACUCAAAAUCAAUCUUAUGCCAAAUAUUCAUUCGUGGGAAAGAUGAACCAAGAAGCGUGUAAUGGGCUGAUCUUAUUUUCAUCUUCGUCAACUUACUGAAUAAGGAUAACAUACGCUUAUCGAAGUGCUUAAUCAGGAUAUCAACUGAUGUCAAAGUUUUGGCAGGCAAAAUGGUUUUCGUAGGGCAAUCCUAAAUUAAAGUUACGAGUUCUGCCCACAAACAGAAAACCAAUUUUCUCGCUUUAUAUUUUGACAUAGGCCAAACAAUAUUAUUAUCUUGAUGCAUCCCUGCUAAUACUAUGAAUUGCAUUAGUUUACACAUUCGUCCGACUCCCCAAGAGAGGGGUACUCUGCUGUUCACUAAUUUCUUUCGCUUCAAUUUGUUCUUCUUCCUUGGAUUGUGCCCACAUUACUCCAUAGAAACCCGCAACGAUUAUGAUCGCCCCUAUAAUGCUUCCAACAUGAAGUGUAUCGCCCAGAAAGAUGACACUCAAAAAGGCAGCAAUGGCUAUCCCUAAGGGUUUGAACAUGGCCACAAAAACAGGCCCUUUCUUAUGUAUGCACCAUGUUGCUACACUGUAUGUCACCACAUUUCCAAACACAGCUGAGUAGAUGACAGAUACGAGCUCAAUAUCAGGCUUCAGUUUCCAAGCAUUUGGGUUCUUCUCUGCAAUCAAGGCAACUAUUGCACAUUGUAUAGUUCCAAAUAGGCAAUAGAAGGAGACUAUGGUCAUCUCUGAAGGGUACCCUCUCAGAAUUGCUGCCUGAAAAAUAGUAAAUACUGACAGAGAUAAACUAGCAGUUGCAAAGAAUAAUCCACCUAUGACCCAGGAAUUUUUUGCUGUCAAUACAGGUUCCGGAUGUGAUGGCAAGGUUGUGACACCUAUUGGAGGACCUUCGUAAAAGAUUAUAAUCAUUGCUCCUGAAAUUGAUACUAGUGUGCCCAAAAUUUUGAUCUGGCUUCUUGAGCUUCUCAAAUCUAACUUCUCCAUCCUAAAAUUGGGGGCCAAAAAAGCGUAUCAGAGACAUAUUUACUUCCCUUUUAGAGCUUAUGUUACAAGUUCAUUGUCCAAAAUUCAACAUGAGAUAACAACCCAUAUCGAUUUUGCAUUUCAGGCAAAGGGAAACUAGUCUUUUAGAACUGAAUAUUGUUAUAUGUUUCAGUAUGCAUUAUAUAUUUUCUAAUGAAUUGAAAAACUAUAAAUAAUUUUGCAAUACUUAAUGGAUUAAAGAGUGGACAUUUCUCAUUUCUUCUUAUUUUCCACAGUCUGCAGUGUGAGAAAAGGGGAAAAUGGAAAAGAAAGAACCUGAACAUAACUGCAAGCAAGAAGGUAAAGGCAGGGAAUAAUUGGCCUAUAGCAGAAGCAAGGGUAGGAGAACUGUAGUUUACACCAGUGAACACACAAUUCUGCAUCAUGGUAAUUCUACAAAACCCCAAACAAGUAUCAAAGUUAAAUUUCCUCCAACAAGAGGGAAACCAAACACACUUCUAAAAUCAACAAAAAGAAGCUCCUCGAUUAAAUUACACACCCAACAAGGCUGAGGAGGAAGAAUUUGCAGAGGAGGGAGUAGGUAAGUGGUGGUCUCUUUGUCCUACAUACAAAAGGUAAAGAAAGGUAAAGAAGUCAAAAUUAAUAAUCAAAGGAGAAAGAAAAAAGGAAAAAGAAAGAUGGGUUUUGCUACUGGUGCUGUUCUUAAUAACCUGUUGAAGAAGAAAGAAAAAAGGAACAUCAUGACAGUGGCAAGAGCAUUUGAGUAGACAACAAAAACAAAGUGGCUCAUUCCCUUGGACAUGGCUGCUUUGCUUAUUGUGGUCAAGCCCGUAUCAACGCAUUCCAGCAUUACCAGGGCUGCAAACGGCAGCAAUCUCAACAAGCAGUACUUGACACCCAUCUCUCUGCCUCUCCCGGAUGCUGAGAAAUGGGGGGACCUGGAUGGAGUCAUAGCCAUAUAAAGGAAGAUAAUAAUUGAUGGUUUC
rnacentral:misc_RNA from 1 species